CGGACAGUCCAUGACUCCCUGAUUUUCUGGGCUCUUUCUUCCUAAAUAAUUUAAAAUCAUAGCUGGCAAGUGAAUUGACUUCCUUGCUCCUGUCUAUAGUCCAUGACUCACUGGGCCGCCGCAGCCUAGCAACCCACACUCACUUAAGAACUCGGUCUAUCUCAACCUUGUUAGAAGCCACAUCUUCAGUAAGGGCUUUAUUAUAAACCUCAUCACCCAGGAAUUUGAUAAUUCCAACAUGCAGCAUUGGUUGAAAUUUGAAAUUACAUCUAUCUCUUGGGAAUCUUAUUUUUCCUUGUAACACUGUCUUAAUUAUGCUUGCAUUUUGUUCAUUAUUUCACUUGGAGCAGGGGAAUGGCAGCUGACUGAAUUUUUGCUUUUUGCAUGCAUGCGUGUCCGUACAUUUAAGCAUAAACUUGUGAGUGCUCGGGUGUAUGUGUGUGUGCUCUUGCUUUGCAUGCAGGUGGAUGGAUGGAUGGGUAGUAGCGUUUAUUUAUGCUAUGAUUUAUUUACAGAAAGUCAAUGGUAGCUGUAAUUAUAUCAUUAAGGGAUUAAUGGAUUACAUUGUAUUCCUAUACUAAUCUGUUUUUCAUCAUACAUAGAAGCUUCAUAUAAUUAUGAAAUAUAACAUAUGAAACAUGAAUUUGGAGAUAACUGGAGCAGAAUAUCAUGGAUUUUGGUUCUGAGGGUUAUUAGGUGGGGAUGGAGGGAUGUAUGGUAUCCAAGUUCUGGGAUCUCUUAGAUUAAAUUCAGGUGGUGGUGGAGGUGCUAAUGAAGGGGUAUUCGGUAUCCAUGUCCUUGGAUUUCCUAGAUUAAAUGCUGGUGGAGGCGUUGGAUGGAAAAGAGAUGGGGUUGGUGAGAGGGGUGGAAAUGGAAAGGGCAAAGAAGGUGGGCGAGGAGAUGGCAAGGGAGGAAAAGGCUGAGAUGGCGUAGGUAAUGGAGGGAAGGGUGAUGGUGACAUGUUAGGCAAGGUAUGCCAUGGGAACCCAUAGGGUGGGGAGUAAGGGAGAAAAAACUUUGAAGAGUUGAAAGAAAUCUGCAACUCUUCUUUGUGUUUCCCACACAAGGUAGCAUUUUUUUUGGAAGGUCUGUAACUCAAAGCAUUCAUGCUGUAAAUACAGAGAUUGUUCUGCUUUGACUUGACUGAUAUCACGUCUGUUGACAUCUUUAAACCAGGAACGUUGCAGGCUGGAUAUGAGCUCCGUAUUAAACUUGCCUGGCAUACUAAUUCAAUUGUCGAUCCCACCGCACAAUCAACACCAUCAACCUCUGGCACUGUCACUUUAUAUAUUCCAUAUCUAUCUGUUGUUCUGUUAGCAGAGAACUGAAUCUUCUCUGUAGUUUUUGGUGAGAUUGCUUGGAAUGUACAUUGAAUGUGAACAUCCGCACCUAAUCAGUCCAAUAUGAUUGGCAAUGAAAAGAUUUCAGAAAUUUUCUCAGCGUGAAAUUGAAGGGUUUGUUUUAUUAAGAGUUAUUAAAUUACCUGGCAAGAAGCAGCUGUAUCUGGAGAAAGUGUUGGUUGAGCAGGUAUCACAGUAGACAACACCAACAAUAAUGAUUCGGGAGGUUGGAUUGUUUGCUGGUUCAGCAAUGAGAGAAAGUGGGAGAGCAAACAAAGUUGCUAGAAGAGCAUGAAUAAUGAUUGGAGCCAUGGGAGAAGCGGGAAGAAGCUUCCACUAAAAGCAUCUCUAGUUAGUACUCCUCUAUGAAGAGCAUAUAAUGUAGAAUUAUUCUAUAGAUCUAGAAAAAUAUACUAUGUCUGCAUGUAAUGAGCCCGUGAGUAGAUUGGUGUUAGGACCAACUGUAAUAGGAUAGCUAAAAUGCUUUAUCUAUUCACUACAAACAAAGACAUGUGAAGAGCUCUUUUGGCAGAUUAUGUAGAAAAAAGAUUUACUCCAUGUUACAACUCUGUAGCAGAUUGGCAGGUUGUGGACACUGAUUUGGUGGCUCUAUUAUUUCUCAGAUCGGAACAGAUCACUAUCAGGUAGUCCAAGGCAUAAAAGGGCAGCGCCGAAGGGAGUCCUAAAUUUUUUAUGUUUUGCAUGAAGUAUGUGGCUUUGCUCUCUGACCCAUUAUUGUUUUUUCUUUCACUUCGCGUUUGUGUCUGCGUUUUCAGCAAAUUUUUGACUAAUAGAUGACACUCACCAUGCAAUUUCUUCGUUCGUCAUGCACUAUUCAAUGACCAAACUGUUUGUUUUUACAUGCAAUAGUCAAAACCCAGCUUGAGUUGCUCUCUUCAACUAGCAAAUGUUUUGCAUGAAUGCGUCUGAUAACAAAUGAGAAAGUGUGCUCUUUGGACCCAAGAAGAGUUUAGACCAGGAUGAAAAAUUCUUAUAUCCAGAUCGACUGGCUGCUAGUGCUUCGUCUGGACCCCAAGAUUCUUUGCAAUCUUCAAGUUUGCGGCCAAGGUUUCCCAUGGUGAAAGUUACUUUGUAUUUAUUAUCAUUACUCCCAUCUAUGAAAUGAAUUGUUAAAUUA